GAUCAUGGCUCAGAUUGAACGCUGGCGGUAGGCUUAACACAUGCAAGUCGUGCGAGAAAGUACCUUCGGGUACGAGUAGAGCGGCGGACGGGUGAGUAACGCGUAGGAAUCUACCUAGUAGAAGGGGAUAGCCCGAGGAAACUCGGAUUAAUACCGUAUACCUCCUUAGGGAGAAAGAGGGCUUAGCUUUGAUGCUCUCGCUAUUAGAUGAGCCUGCGUAAGAUUAGCUAGUUGGUGAGGUAAUGGCUCACCAAGGCAACGAUCUUUAGCUGGUCUGAGAGGACGAUCAGCCACAUUGGGACUGAGACACGGCCCAGACUCCUACGGGAGGCAGCAGUGGGGAAUAUUGGACAAUGGGCGCAAGCCUGAUCCAGCCAUACCGCGUGUGUGAAGAAGGCUUUCGGGUUGUAAAGCACUUUAAGUAAGGAGGAAAAGGUUAUAGAUAAUACCUGUAACCCGUGACGUUACUUACAGAAUAAGGACCGGCUAAUUCCGUGCCAGCAGCCGCGGUAAUACGGAAGGUCCAAGCGUUAAUCGGAAUUACUGGGCGUAAAGGGCGCGUAGGUGGUUUAUUAAGUUGGAUGUGAAAGCCCUGGGCUCAACCUAGGAACUGCAUCCAAAACUAGUUCACUAGAGUACGAAAGAGGGAAGUAGAAUUCACAGUGUAGCGGUGGAAUGCGUAGAUACUGUGAAGAAUACCAAUGGCGAAGGCAGCUUCCUGGUUCUGUACUGACACUGAGGUGCGAAAGCGUGGGUAGCGAACAGGAUUAGAUACCCUGGUAGUCCACGCCGUAAACGAUGACAACUAGCUGUUGGAAAACAAUAGUUUUUCAGUGGCACAGCUAACGCAAUAAGUUGUCCGCCUGGGGAGUACGGCCGCAAGG
rnacentral:rRNA from 1 species